rnacentral:lncRNA from 1 species
GCAGACCACAUGCUCAAUCUGAAAAGCAACCAGCGAGCGGCUUCCCACCCCAUACAGUCCCCCGCUGGGCCAAGCUGUGGUUGAAGUGGCUAUCACCAAAUAGCAGUUGGCAGCAGCGGGCUGUAAGGAAGCGGCAGGAACGCACCGUGCCGUCCCCGAGUCGCGGCACGCCCUGCCCGUAGGAGGGAAAGGCCGCCCGCCGCUGCGUUCCCUCCGUCCGCAGCGGUACCGGCAAUUGUCGGUGCUUCAGCCUCGGGCUGCUCCCGGAGCCCGGCCCCGUGUCACCUCGGAUGCUCCCGUCUGGCAGACCGGCACAUCUCGCCGCCACCGAUCUCCCGGCUCUGGAAGGCAGUUUUGCUUUAGCGCUGAAGGAAUCGUAUCUUAGGCUUCAGCAAAAGCAGGAGAGACGUGAUUCUUUCUCAUGAAACAAGUCGAAAUAAUACGUGCGCCCAGUAAAAAAAGGUUUACGAGUA